AGAGUUUGAUCCUGGCUCAGAGCGAACGUUAGCGGCAGGCUUAACACAUGCAAGUCGAGCGAGAAAGGGGCUUCGGCCCUGAGUAAAGCGGCGGACGGGUGCGUAACACGUGGAUAAUCUGCCCUUCAGUGGGGAAUAACGUUCCGAAAGGAACGCUAAUGCCGCAUGUCACAGCGUGGCCUCCGGGUCGCGCUGGAAAA
rnacentral:rRNA from 1 species